ACUGCUCAGUAACACGUGGAUAACCUGCCCUAAGGAAGGGGAUAACCUCGGGAAACUGAGGAUAAUACCCUAUAGGUUACAGACGCUGGAAUGCCCUGUAACCGAAAGUUCCGGCGCCUUAGGAUGGAUCUGCGGCCGAUUAGGUUGUUGUUGGGGUAACGGCCCAACAAGCCGAUAAUCGGUACGGGUUGUGGGAGCAAGAGCCCGGAGUUGGAUUCUGAGACAUGAAUCCAGGCCCUACGGGGCGCAGCAGGCGCGAAAACUUUACAAUGCGGGAAACCGUGAUAAGGGAACCCCGAGUGCCUGUAUAUGCAGGCUGUCCAGGUGUCUAAAAAACACCUGAAGAAAGGGCCGGGCAAGACCGGUGCCAGCCGCCGCGGUAAUACCGGCGGCUCGAGUGGUGGCCACUUUUAUUGGGCUUAAAGCGUUCGUAGCUGGGUUGUUAAGUCUCUUGGGAAAUCUGACGGCUCAACCGUCAGGCGUCCAAGGGAUACUGGCAAUCUUGGAACCGGGAGAGGUGAGGGGUACUUCGGGGGUAGGAGUGAAAUCCUGUAAUCCUCGAGGGACCACCUGUGGCGAAGGCGCCUCACCAGAACGGCUUCGACAGUGAGGGACGAAAGCUGGGGGAGCAAACCGGAUUAGAUACCCGGGUAGUCCCAGCCGUAAACGAUGCGCGUUAGGUGUAUCGGUGACCACGAGUCACCGUGGUGCCGAAGGGAAACCGUGAAACGUGCCGCCUGGGAAGUACGGUCGCAAGGCUGAAACUUAAAGGAAUUGGCGGGGGAGCAC
rnacentral:rRNA from 1 species